AUGCUAAUAGCUCAGUCCUUUUGCGUGUUCAUUGACAAGUUGUCCGUACAGUACCUUGGCGUCAACAACCACGGCCAUGAUGACGGAGUCGUGCUGGCCGACUGCCCUGCUUCCAUGCGCCGAGCAGUCUACUGGUUUGAGAUGACCGUGAGGACUGCUGGGCUCAAGGGGUUGAAUCGGGUUCACCACAUGUGGGGUGGCAACCUGGGUCAGCUAACUUUUGUUGGCCCUUUCUGCUAUUUGGUAUCUCUAGCCUGGUUUUAG
rnacentral:rRNA from 1 species